rnacentral:rRNA from 1 species
CUACGAAGGGGGCUAGCGUUGUUCGGAAUCACUGGGCGUAAAGCGCGCGUAGGUGGAUCAAUUAGUUGAGGGUGAAAUCCCGGGGCUCAACCUCGGAACUGCCUUCAAUACUGUUGAUCUUGAGACCGAGAGAGGUGAGUGGAAUUCCUAGGGUAGAGGUGAAAUUCGUAGAUAUUAGGAAGAACACCAGUGGCGAAGGCGGCUCACUGGCUCGGUACUGACGCUGAGGUGCGAAAGCGUGGGGAGCAAACAGGAGUAGAAACCCUAGUAGUCC